ensembl:misc_RNA Metazoa_SRP Metazoan signal recognition particle RNA
GCCGGGCAUGGUGGCGCAUGCCUGUAAUCCCAGCUACUUGGGAGGCUGAGGCAGGAGAAUCGCUUGAAUCCGGGAGGCAGAGGUUGCAGUGAGCCAAGAUCGCGCCACGGCACUCCAGCCUGGGUGACAAAGCGAGACUCUGUCUCAA